rnacentral:rRNA from 1 species
UGCCAGACUCCUACGGGAGGCAGCAGUGGGGAAUAUUGGGCAAUGGGCGCAAGCCUGACCCAGCAACGCCGCGUGAAGGAAGAAGGCUUUCGGGUUGUAAACUUCUUUUCUGGGGGACGAAGAAAGUGACGGUACCCCAGGAAUAAGCCACGGCUAACUACGUGCCAGCAGCCGCGGUAAUACGUAGGUGGCAAGCGUUAUCCGGAUUUACUGGGUGUAAAGGGCGUGUAGGCGGGACUGCAAGUCAGAUGUGAAAACCAUGGGCUCAACCCAUGGCCUGCAUUUGAAACUGUAGUUCUUGAGUGUUGGAGAGGCAGGCGGAAUUCCGUGUGUAGCGGUGAAAUGCGUAGAUAUACGGAGGAACACCAGUGGCGAAGGCGGCCUGCUGGACAAUAACUGACGCUGAGGCGCGAAAGCGUGGGGAGCAAACAGGAUUAGAUACCCUUGUA